rnacentral:rRNA from 1 species
CAGUAACGGCGAGUGAAGCGGCAACAGCUCAAAUUUGAAAUCUGGCUCCUUCGGGGUCCGAAUUGUAAUUUGUAGAGAGUGCUUCGGGCGAGACCUCGGUCUAAGUCCAUUGGAACAUGGUGUCAUAGAGGGUGAGAAUCCCGUAUGCGACCGUGGCUCGAGCCCAUGUGAAGCCUCUUCGACGAGUCGAGUUGUUUGGGAAUGCAGCUCAAAAUGGGUGGUAAAUUUCAUCUAAAGCUAAAUACUGGCUGGAGACCGAUAGCGCACAAGUAGAGUGAUCGAAAGAUGAAAAGCACUUUGGAAAGAGAGUCAAACAGUACGUGAAAUUGUUGAAAGGGAAGCGCUUGCAACCAGACCUGCCCGUAGGCGAUCAGCCGCUGUUCUCAGCGGUGUAUUCGCUCUGCGAUCAGGCCAGCAUCGGUUUCGGCGGUCGGAUAAAGACCUUGGGAAUGUAGCUUCCCUUCGGGGAAGUCUUAUAGCCCUCGGUGUAAUGCGGCCAGCCGGGACCGAGGACCGCGCUUCGGCUAGGAUGCUGGCGUAAUGGUUGUAAGCGACCCGUCUUGAAACACGGACCAAGGAGUCUAACAUCUAUGCGAGUGUUUGGGUGUCAAACCCAUACGCGGAAUGAAAGUGAACGGAGGUGAGAACCCUUAAGGGCGCAUCAUCGACCGAUCCAGAUGUCUUCGGAUGGAUUUGAGUAUGAGCAUAGCUGUUGGGACCCGAAAGAUGGUGAACUAUGCCUGAAUAGGGUGAAGCCAGAGGAAACUCUGGUGGAGGCUCGCAGCGGUUCUGACGUGCAAAUCGAUCGUCAAAUUUGGGUAUAGGGGCGAAAGACUAAUC